GUGCUCACUUUGGCAGCACCUAUACUCGGGUUGGAACGAUACCGAGAUUAGCAUGGCCCCUACACAAGGAUGACAUGCAGAUUUGUGAAGCAUUCCAUGUUAAA